UACGUAGGGGGCAAGCGUUGUCCGGAAUCAUUGGGCGUAAAGAGCGUGUAGGCGGCCAGAUAAGUCCGCUGUGAAAUCUCGAGGCUCAACUUCGAGCUGUCGGUGGAAACUGUCUGGCUAGAGUCCGGAAGAGGAGAGUGGAAUUCCUGGUGUAGCGGUGGAAUGCGCAGAUAUCAGGAGGAACACCUAUGGCGAAGGCAGCUCGCUGGGACGGUACUGACGCUGAGACGCGAAAGCGUGGGGAGCGAACAGG
rnacentral:rRNA from 1 species